CCACACCUAAAAAUCUUUCCACGUGAACUGUUUUGUAAAUUUGGGCUUCGCCUGCUGCGCGCUUUGCUUUUUCGUGAAGAGUGCGACGGCUUGAGGCCAUCAGGGUGCGCUUGCUUGAUUUUUUUUGGAAUCGGGCGAGUGCGCUCUUUGUCAACCCAUUUCUUUUGAAACUGAUUAUACUGUGGGGACGAAAGUCUCUGCUUUUAACUAGAUAGCAACUUUCAGCAGUGGAUGUCUAGGCUCGCACAUCGAUGAAGAACGCUGCGAACUGCGAUACGUAAUGCGAAUUGCAGGAUUCAGUGAGUCAUCGAAAUUUUGAACGCAUAUUGCACUUUCGGGUUUUGCCUGGAAGUAUGUCUGUAUCAGUGUCCGUACACUAAACUUGCCUUUCUUGCGUCGUGUAGUCGUCGCUUGGAAUGUGCAGAUGUGAGGUUUGUCUUGCUUUGGCCGCAAUGUAAAAAUUGUGAGCAGAGGCAAGUCCCUUUAAAGUCGGACGUGUUUUCUCUCUGUAGUGUGCUGUGUCGGCGCUGACGGCGUGUGAUACUUUCUUGUCUGUUGACGAGUCUGGCGACCUUUGGCUCGUGCAUUGCGGGGUGUACUCGAUUGGCGGUAUGUUAGGCUUCGGCUUUGACAAUGCAGCUUAUUGUGUGUGUCUCGUGGCGCGUGGCUGUAUGGGUGAACCGGAUGGGAUUCGGACGUUUGGAGAGUGUUUGCGUGCGUGUUGGUGGUUGGCAUUGCGAAUUGCGUGGAGGACGGUCACCAUUUGGGAAAUUGUGUCUCUGUCUUUAUUUGUUUUUGCAAAGUAUGUUGUGACUACUCACGAGAAGGAGACAUCUCAAUUGGACCUGAUAUCAGACAAG
rnacentral:rRNA from 1 species